UAGGUACUCCCUCCAUUCGGAAUUACUUGUCGCAGAAAUGGAUGUAUUUAGACAUAUUUUAGUUCUAGAUACAUCCAUUUCCGAGACAAGUAAUUCCGAACGGAGGGAGUAAUAG
rnacentral:pre_miRNA from 1 species